rnacentral:rRNA from 1 species
CCUACGGGUGGCUGCAGUGGGGAAUAUUGGCAAUGGGGGAAACCCUGACCCAGCAACGCCGCGUGAAGGAAGAAGGUCUUCGGGUUGUAAACUUCUUUUACCAGGGCCGAAGGACGUGACGGUACCUGGAGAAAAAGCCACGGCUAACUACGUGCCAGCAGCCGCGGUAAUACGUAGGUGGCAAGCGUUGUCCGGAGUUACUGGGUGUAAAGGGCGUGUAGGCGGAGCUGCAAGUCAGAUGUGAAAUCUCCGGGCUUAACCCGGAAACUGCAUUUGAAACUGUAGCCCUUGAGUAUCGGAGAGGCAAGCGGAAUUCCUAGUGUAGCGGUGAAAUGCGUAGAUAUUAGGAGGAACACCAGUGGCGAAGGCGGCUUGCUGGACGACAACUGACGCUGAGGCGCGAAAGCGUGGGGAGCAAACAGGAUUAGAUACCCCUGUAGUC